UACAGAGGGCUGUAGUGGUUUGAGCGUUAGACUACAACUCUGGAGACCAGGGUUCGAACCCCAGCUCAGCCA